rnacentral:tRNA from 1 species
GCCUUUUACUCAGUGUUAGAGUACGCCAU